UGAAGGGUUUCACAACACCUGUUUCGUUGCUACCUUACAUUUGUUUGUGGGGGGUUGGGGCAGAUCACUACACACGAGCAUCCCGCGAAGUAAGCGGGUCACUCGAGGGCGACCUGUACCCCCUAAAAAAUUCUUCUAGCAACUGAGCUAGGAGCCGGUCGUCACUCCGGCUCGUUAUUUUCCUUACUCAUUAGUUUAAGGCAUGAAGCAAUCGCGGUCGUGAAAAUGAAUAGGUACUUGUACAAGUCUACAACGUGUGUGGUUUGCAAUAUGUUCCACGUACCAGCACUGACGGACAUUAUUUCCGCUUUUAAACAAGCCAGAUUGUUUACUAUCAUAUCUUCGUUUAUUCUACCUGUCAUGAUCUAAUAUUAGAUGAAGCAGAAUGUACAAUUUCACAUUUUCAGUCAUGGUGGCUACAAAGAUAUGGGCUCAUUAACAUAAUUUAUGCAUGGUUUAGUCAUAGCCCUGGGUGAAAGAAAAUGUCUUUACGAUUAUGUGCAGGACAUUUUACAUUCAGGAACCGCAGUAUGUGCGUCCUACUAAUUUAUUUCUAUCUUAGGCCAUAUCAAUACAAUUUCUUGCUUCUCGGAUAAUCGUUUUCUGAUUUGAAAGAAAAUAUCUACUGAUGUGGGAACAUCCCCUCUACUCUUUGGGCUCCAGGAAUCAGUUUUGAGUCCACUGAUCUUGCUUUUUUUUUGGUCAGGGCACUCAUCUACCCUAAAAUGCUUACCUUUAGGCACCAAUUAUUUUCGUCUACGUGAAGGAGACACUGUAUCGGAUGUCUGUCAGCACAGCAAAUUUCCAACCUAAAUGCUGUUUCAUUAAAAUCUUGUUCCAACACCUUCAUGUAUUUUAAUUUUCUGAUAACAGUAUAAUGUAGACUCAAUUCACCUGCUGCAAUGAUCUUCUGUAAAAUCCAGGAAAAAAAAGGAGAAAACACCAUAUCAUCAGAUUAUCAUCAGAGACAUUUCAUACAGUUUAAACUAUUUUAUUGAUUAUUUUAUGGAGACACUUUUGAGUGAGGCAGGAGCAGCAAUGCUAGACAGCAGUACAUUUCAGCACAAAUCAAGCUUCAUUAAAUGGACGGUUAACAACUUGUACAUUUGGUUAAGCCUUCAAGAGCUGUUACACUGGCAUAAUUUUUGCAAAUUUCUUGUUUUGUAAAGUUGUAACUUUCCAUAAAACACAACAAAAUGCAGUAGGGACUUCCUAAAAUGUUUGAGGUCAAUUGUUUUUAGCUCAGUUAAGUUUGUGUAUUGCUGGCUCCUUGAGUUUGAUUAUAUGCAUUUUCUUCAUAUCUCGCAGAAUAGUUUUAUACCAUACAUUUUGCAAAGUAGUUUUAUACCAUAAAACAGUAGUUUUGAACACCAAAAAGGCCAAAUUCACCCCACCGAGGAACAUGCACAAUCAUGUGUGUUCAAGAAAACAGAACAACCAGCACACCAUAUCCCUGCUCAUUCACAAAAUGAGAUAAGACGAAAACUGACGGAUAGCCUACCAUAACAUUUGUUUGGCUUACAGAUGGUAUCAUCCAUUGAGUAAUUGCUAUUUGGCAUAUCUUAUUACCUGGAUGUCUAACCUUCAUCAAAGAUUUCAUCCAUAUCAGCAAAUAAGUCUGGCCUGAAGUGGGGUAAAAACAACUUGGGAGUGUUUUGGGCUAAAUAAUCCUAAUCUCUUGUGUUAGACAAUGACUAAGACAGGCCUGACAAUACAAACAUCUUCUUCCAGCAUUUUUAUAUCCUGGAUUGUUUCCGUAAAGUAGGAGAAGUCAUACAAGUAACAGAGAAAAUACAAUUAUUAAAGACAGUCACAGUGUGAUACAACCUGUAACAUAUUAUCUUUCCCAAGAUUGUAUCUGCAGCUAGCUUCAAUCCAUACAGUAGUCCUAAAAUGUUACAGAAGUACAUGUAUUGUGCACUGCUACAAUAGUACAUAGCAUUGGCAUAUCUAGGGUACAAUUUCUUGAUGCAGGAAGCAAGUACAUUUUCAACACACUAGCCAUCUGAACUAUCACCUUUGUACUUACAGAAUUGAAAAACAUAAUGUUCACUUUUUUUAACAGUACCCUGUUAUAUAAAGUUGCGUUUCUAUCAUUUUGCACCAACUGUACAUUGCUCUAUUACAGGUACAUGUACAAGCCUGAACUCAGAGCGCCUGCUAUGUUAUAAUCAAUGCUUCAGGUGUAUUUACAUGUGUAGGAGCAAUGCAGAGGAGUCUGGGGUGACCUGACGGGGUGAAGGUCAGCAUAGGCUAAAGUUCAAG